UAGGAUUCCAUGCACCAAGAUUUGGGAAUACUCGAUCACUUACAGGCAGAGAAGGUUUUGCGAUCAUAAUUGUAAUACAACUUAUAACUUGCGCUAGCAUCAACGUGAAAGCAACAUGAUCUCUCGCCAGGGUUUGCAGUAACAUUACACCGACACCGACUCCCUGUAUCCCGUCCCAUAGAGCUAGCAAAAGCCAUACUGACUUCGUCAGCAAGGCAGAAGCCUUACCAGCCCAUGGUAAAUUAAUUCCGAGACCCGAGGAUGACCAAAACUCUAAGCACCAGCGUGGACAAAUGAGGCCCAAUCCAAAUAUCACUGGAAACCAAACGUUAUUAAGAGACAAAAUCUUUAUAACUGAUAAGAGAACGGCCCAAACCACGAUGAAGAAAAUGAGUAAAAGAAUGAUUAUGCUCCACAAAGGAGUGUUGCUAGUAUUCCAGAAAAACCUCCAAGCCUGGCCAUAAGGGACAGCAAGCCAGUAAUUGAUUAAAAUUUGAGAGAUAAAAAACCAAAUUACAAUAUUUCGUUUUCCUAAUGAACGAUAAAACGCUGGAAUGAUAGAAGGAGCUUGGCGAUAAAAAGCAGGUAAACCUGCGAAUGUUACGUAGGAAAGCCCGAAGCAAAUGAAAGAGGCGAUAAGUCCCCCUGCAAAAAUGCCAGGCCCCACAUUUUGAGUCAAAUCUUUCUUCGAUAAUAGAUCUCCCCAUGACCAGAGGAUUGCAGACCAAAUCUGUUGAAUCCCAUGUACAAGACAGGCCCUCAAAAUCCAAUGAUGAGUUGCGAUACCUCCUUCGGCACCAAAAUUCCAUGCAAAAUACAGCGAUCCAGUAGAACUUGAAAUGGCAUAAACGUAAGCCGCUAUGUGUUGAAUUACCGAACAAGCAGUAGUUUUCUGGAAAAAGUGAGUGAUCGCAACUAAAAUGAAAGAUAUGCCAAAAAAGAAGAAAGGGAGAGAUAAAAUGUAUCUCGCUUGAACCACUCGGGAUAAGAACCACCAAAACAGAGAGAAGAAUGAGAAAAUAGAGAGCAGAAUGUACAUGGACACUGUAGAUUGCGCAGAUUCUCCAGAAAGUAAAGUUAAUUGAUAAGAAGAUGCUCCAAGAAUUUGCCCAAUUGCCAAUACAAUCGUAUAUAGAGGCCAUCCACCAAUACUGUGAAGAAGUAAUUUUUGUAACCGAGUAGCUUCAUAUGUAUCACAAUCAAUUUGCUUGUAAGACUCCGAGACUGUGCAACUCUUUUCUUUAUCUGAGCGAGACUUUAAUUUCACA